rnacentral:rRNA from 1 species
GGUGAACCUGCGGAAGGAUCAUUACCGAGUGUAGGGUUCCUAGCGAGCCCAACCUCCCACCCGUGUUUACUGUACCUUAGUUGCUUCGGCGGGCCCGCCAUUCAUGGCCGCCGGGGGCUCUCAGCCCCGGGCCCGCGCCCGCCGGAGACACCACGAACUCUGUCUGAUCUAGUGAAGUCUGAGUUGAUUGUAUCGCAAUCAGUUAAAACUUUCAACAAUGGAUCUCUUGGUUCCGGCAUCGAUGAAGAACGCAGCGAAAUGCGAUAACUAGUGUGAAUUGCAGAAUUCCGUGAAUCAUCGAGUCUUUGAACGCACAUUGCGCCCCCUGGUAUUCCGGGGGGCAUGCCUGUCCGAGCGUCAUUGCUGCCCAUCAAGCACGGCUUGUGUGUUGGGUCGUCGUCCCCUCUCCGGGGGGGACGGGCCCCAAAGGCAGCGGCGGCACCGCGUCCGAUCCUCGAGCGUAUGGGGCUUUGUCACCCGCUCUGUAGGCCCGGCCGGCGCUUGCCGAACGCAAAUCAAUCUUUUUCCAGGUUGACCUCGGAUCAGGUAGGGAUACCCGCUGAACUUAAGCAUAUCAA